rnacentral:rRNA from 1 species
AACGAACGCUGGCGGCAUGCCUAACACAUGCAAGUCGAACGAGACCUUCGGGUCUAGUGGCGCACGGGUGCGUAACGCGUGGGAACCUGCCCUUAGGUUCGGAAUAACUCCCCGAAAGGGGUGCUAAUACCGGUUAAUGUCUUCGCACCAAAGAUUUAUCGCCUUUGGAUGGGCCCUCGUUGGAUUAGCUAGUUGGUAGGGUAAAAGCCUACCAAGGCGACGAUCCAUAGCUGGUCUGAUAGGAUGAUCAGCCACACUGGGACUGAGACACGGACCAGACUCCUACGGGAGGCAGCAGUGGGGAAUAUUGGACAAUGGGCGAAAGCCUGAUCCAGCAAUGCCGCGUGAGUGAUGAAGGCCUUAGGGUUGUAAAGCUCUUUUACCCGGGAUGAUAAUGACAGUACCGGGAGAAUAAGCACCGGCUAACUCCGUG